rnacentral:rRNA from 1 species
UACGGCCGCAAGGUUAAAACUCAAAUGAAUUGACGGGGGCCCGCACAAGCGGUGGAGCACGUGGUUUAAUUCGAUGCAACGCGAAGAACCUUACCUGGUNUUGACAUCCACAGAACUUUCCAGAGAUGGAUUGGUGCCUUCGGGAACUGUGAGACAGGUGUUGCAUGGCUGUCGUCAGCUCGUGUUGUGAAAUNUUGGGUUAAGUNGCGCANCGAGCGCAACCCUUAUCNUUUGUUGCCAGCGGUUAGGCCGGGAACUCAAAGGAGACUGCCAGUGAUAAACUGGAGGAAGGUGGGGAUGACGUCAAGUCAUCAUGGCCCUUNCGACCAGGGCUACACACGUGNUACAAUGGCGCAUACAAAGAGAAGCGACCUCGNGAGAGCAAGCGGACCUCAUAAAGUGCGUCGUAGUCCGGAUUGGAGUCUGCAACUNGNCUCCAUGAAGUCGGAAUCGCUAGUAAUCGUAGAUCAGAAUGCUACGGUGAAUACGUUCCCGGGCCUUGUACACACCGCCCGUCACACCAUGGGAGUGGGUUGCAAAAGAAGUAGGUAGCUUAACCUUNGGGAGGGCGC